rnacentral:lncRNA from 1 species
GUUGCUGGUGCUUGUAGCAUGGCGAUUGGUGAGUUGGUCUCAGUUUACUCACAAUAUGACAUUGAAUUGACUGAAGUGAAGAGAGAAAAAAUGGCAAAAGAUUUUGCCGAUCAUUACUUCGAGAAUAUGAAAAAAAGUUUGCCUAAUCCCUGGCAAGCAGCUGGUGCAUCUGCGCUUGCUUUUGCUGUUGGGGCUGUCAUGCCGUUGCUUGCUGCUGCGUUCAUAAAGGUCUAUGUGGUGAGGUUAGUUGUGGUGCUGGCUGUUGCGAGCUUGGCCCUGUUACGGUUUGGUGCGUUGGGAGCCCUGUCGAGGGGUGCACCCAUGUUGAAGGCAUCGUUAAGGGUGCUGGUAGGAGGAUGGCUAGCCAUGGGAAUAACUUUUGGCCUCACCAAGUUGAUUGGCCGCACAGGACUCUAAUCCAUCUUCUAUCACUACAUGGGUUUUGGUUUUUAACAGUGUUUUUUUUUUACCGUUUAGCGGUGUUUAUUAACGUCACUAUAAUGUUACGACGUUUGUGAAAAAAGUACCAUGCAGAGUGCUGCCCACACAUGCAUCGCAGUAAAUAACGACGUUUUCGAAAAAACGCCUCGAUAUUAAGGGUGUUUAUAUCUGAAACACUAUCAUUUUAACGACAUUUAUAUCUUUGAGACGUCGCUACUUUAGAGGCGUUUGAAUAUGAAAACGGCUCAAUAUUUACGGUGUUUGUAUCUUUUAGCCACCGUUAUUUUAGUGACGUUUUUAUAAGAAAAACUCCGUUGCAUUGACGGCGUUUGUAACAGAAAAUGUCGCUACUUUAGAUGCAUUUGAAUAUGAAAACGCCUCAAUACUUGUGGCAUUUGUAUAUUUUAGGUGCCGCUAAUUCAAUGACAUUGUUAUGAGAAAAACGAUGUUGGUGAAGGCGUUUCUAUAAAAAAUGCCAACCACCUAGCAGCGUUUGCUUGAAAGAGCGUCAUUACUUAUAGUGACAUUUUAUGAUACAAAUGUCACUAAAUUAUUCAUUUAACGGCAUUGCUCAACGCAAACACCGCCAUUAUAUAAAAAUAUUUUUUUUAAUUUCUUAUAAUAAAUUUUAUUUUUAGUAAAGAGUUUAAAUUCAGAAACUGAAAUUAAUAUUAACUUCAUUCACAUUUAAAUAUACAUAUAAUUAAUACAAAGUUUAAUAAUUAGUAUAAUAACAUUCAAAUAUUGCAAAUACAUUAACCAAAUAAAAAAUUAAAAUGUCUGAAAUGGAUGACUACAUACGUUUUGCUGGCUGCUAAUUGAUGAAGAAAAAUUUUCACCUUGAUCACUAGGGUGCUCAAUAACCUACUGAAUAAUACCAUAUAAUUUUUAACAUUUCAUUGUAUGCUUAUUUUUUAUUUAAAAAUUUUAAUAUUUGCUAAAUAUAAUACCUGAGUUGAUGGAGCACCAAGAUCAUUUCUUAAAAAUUAUUGUUGCACAAAAUUUAUAAGAUGAUCGAAUCGAUUAUGCAACUAUUAAAAUUUUGCACAUUCUAGCUCCAUUCUAGCAUGUUCUUCUUCAAUUUUGGCAUGCUCUUGUUCUCUUUCUGCUUUCAUUUGCUGAAAAUGUUAUUGCAUAGUUUGCAACUCCCCUCUCAAUAUUGAAAUAUUUCACGAAGACUGACUUGCUAAGAGUGUAAAUUACGAAGAGUUAUAUCCAUAGUAGGCAAAUGGUGUUGGACCCAAUCCAAGACCUCGGACCCGUCCAUGCCUUUCUUUUUUAGCAAAUUCUAUGAAUAUUCAAUUUUCAUUUCUUGCAUGUUGAGAGAACCUUCAGAUGCUACUUUAAUUUUAGCAGUCAUUUUCUCUUUCGCUUUCUCCUGUGAAUUUGUCACAUACAACUAUCAAGUUUAAUGAUUAAUUAAUUAUAUGUUAAAAAGAGUUAAUAUUUACUUUAUGUUAAAAUAGAUGAUAAAAAUUAUCAUAAUUUCUUAUGUUUCAACAUUCAUGUAAGAUCCAUUUUUUUUUUAGUUACGCAAAAAAGUUUCACACGUCUAAUUGUAUCGUCCAUCUCAUUCUCCUAUACAAAACUAUAUGUUAUUUGAUAUGAUACAUAUCAACCGUAACUUAUUUAUGCAUAUCAAUCCUGUUAAUCAAGUAUUAAAAUUUUGAAUCAUUUUAAUCUCCUUUAUUUAUAUUUUGACCCUGUAAAAACACAAUAGUCUUAAACAUACACAAAGAAUAAAAGCAUUUUGGGCUUCACACAUAUCGAUCAUGGAAACAAAAUUUAAUUAUUUUCUCUUGGUUUAAUAUCAAGGAUUGAAGCCAUUCAAUAUGUUGAAAGGCAUCCAAAAUUUAUUUGUAUAUUUACCUUUUAUAUGCAAAAAUAUUUUCAAAUAGACAUAACUGAUAACUUUUUCUCCUAUAUCAAUUAUAGAAAUCAAGUUCAAUCAAUCGAACAAGCUUAAUAUCAAGUAUUGAAGCUAUCGAAAUUGUUAAAAUACAACAAUAACAAUGACUAGAUAAUAAAGGCAUAAAUAUACUUAAAUAGUAACUUUUCAUACAUAUCAUAUGUGUAACUAAGUUCAAAACUUUCGAUAAGUUUAAUAUCAUGUAUUAAAACAAUCAAAUCUAUUAAAACAAAACAAUAAAUGUUAAUUUCCAUAUUUACCUUUUUACAGCAGAAAAAGUUCAUUCAUUGAAAUAAGUUAAUUAUUAUAAACUUACGAUUUCUUUUUGCUUUCUUGCAAAACUUUUUGAUCCACUUAUGUGGCUAUAUUUUUGUUACUUUUUGCUACCAAUCCCAAUUUGUUCUCUUUCCUAUCAUAAAAAAUAAUUGUGUAUAUGAUAGAAAUACAAAUAUUACUAACUGAAACCAUCAAACACUUUCAUCAUUUCAUUCUAUUAUACAAAGUUAUAAACUAGUACCUCUCAUUUUUUUAAGAACCAAAAUCUAAUCAGUUGUUCAUAUUACCACCUAAUCACAUUACGGGAUAGAUUUUGCAUCAUUGCCUCUAUAAUAAUAUUUCGAUCGAAAUACUUAUUUUUCAAAUUAUGCUUAUAAUCUUUCCAUUUCUUUCCCAAUGGCUUAAGCACAAAUAAAGUUGAUAUUUCAAGUACAAAUCUUGACUGUAAUAAUACAAUAAGAAAAGUUUGAAUAAGUAAACAAAAUGUAAAAUAAAAAAUUUGAAUUUAUCUAAUUAAUUAUACUAAUACCUCAAUAAAGUUUAACGCAUCAGCUUAACUUAUUUUGGAACAUUAUGCCAUGUUUCAUAAUGAAUAGGCAUUUCAUUCCAUUAUGGGCUAGCAUGCAUAGAAAUUCAGCCAAUAGUUAAACUUUUUCACCAAUUGGUUGCCUAUCAAAGUUUACAGACAUUACAAUACGCUCGUUAUGAGGUUGUGCAAAUAAUUUCUUCAAAGUUGUCUGGCCUUUGAUCCUCCGUUGACCAUUGUUAUUAACUGCAACAAAUAUAAAAUAUAUUUUUAAAAUCGUAAUACUUUUAUCAGUAUACUCGAAUUCUAAAAUUGGAGUAUAUCAUACCUGCAUUCAAAUUUAAAGCAUAAUCAAUUGAUGGGGUACUAUUUAAAUCUGGACCUCUCAUAUUGCCAGACUAAAAUCAGUUGAAGGGUUAGAGUGACAGAGUUAGAUCCGACAGUAUGUUCAUUUGCCUUUAAAGGAUUUAGUCCAUAACCAAUAUCUAUAGGUGCCACAGAUGGUUCUGAACUAAUAUCUCUGAUAUAUUUUUCUUUCAACCUACUUCUCUGUAUUAUAGCUUACUUACAUUAUAAAAAUGAAUAUAAAAAAAAUGUUAGUUUAGAAGAUAUAUAGACAUUUUCAAUUUAAGAAAUCAAAACCUAUGAUAUAUAAAGAACAUAUCAAUUUAAUAAAAUCACAAUAUAAUGUAUGAUUUAGAAGACAAUAAUUAUACAAUAGCGAAUGUGACAUUAUUUACAUACUAUUAUUUACUACAUUAUGUCUUAAACACUCGAAUUACAAAUUAUAGAUGUAUGGAAUCAUGGUUCGUAAAUGUCUUCAGUAACAUCUUCACGGACCCACUGAGCAUAGAUACUGAAGAUAUUUUCAUUCAAGUUUUGUUCAGCAAAAGGAUAACAUUCAAUUCCAUGUUCAAUAUUAUCUUUGGUAUUUAAUCCCAUAUCAAAUAAGUCUCUAGGUGUGUUUCGAAAAACAACAAACUAAGCUAAUUUUUUCAGAUCUUCAGAGUAAAAUACUUGUUUGACUUGAGAUGAAAAUACAUAAGGUUCAUCGAUGAGUUGUUGUCCAGUGUGAAUUAAUCAAGAAAAAUUCAUAAGGGUAAAUUCGUACUGAUGUUUCUUAAGAUCUCUCGUACUAUUCACAUCAGCCCAAUCACACCAAAAUAAGAUAACUUUUCACUUGCCAUAAGAAUUCAACUCAAUGAUGUCAUUAAUCAUGCCAUAAUAGUCAACAUUUUCCUCUAAAGGGUUUGUGUCUCUAGCACUAGUUAACUAGUAGUUGAUAAAGUUACAACAACUCUUGAAUUUUGUGUACUUCUAAAUCUCUCACGAAAUUUUAUGUGAAAUUUAAAUCCAUUGAUGAUGAAACUUUUGUAUCGUUUCACAAUCUAGUUUGGAUCGUGUGAAAGACACUUAAACUCUUCACUAAUAAGCCUUCCACUCCAAACCUAUAAAAAUGUAAUAAAUAUAUAUAUUUUAUUAAUAUAAUUUUUACCGUAAGCAUUCUAUGUAGAUAAAACAUAAUGAAAAGUAUGGCAUUACUUACAAUUGCUCCUAACCAUUCAUGAAAGUUUUCAGCAAACAACUUAUCAACUUUUCGAGGGUUUGACUGUCGAUAAUGUGCAUGAGCUCUCAAAUUAUUUUUAUAUUCACUAUAAAACAUCAUGAUAAAAUAUUAACAAUAAAAAAACAUAAUAAAUUAUACCUAAUGUAAUGAAUAAUUUUCUUGCUAAACAACUUACGUGCGAAAUGAUUAAAUUAAGUCAUGAUGAAAAAGAACAUAUCGAUGUGCUUGUGCCCAAGAUUUAUCAUCUAACUCCACCAAUUCAGCUUUGCCUAUGGGUUGUCCAAAACUUUGAAAAAGAUAACUGUAGGUCGAGUCUGUAUGCUGCAUACCAACAUUUCUCGAAGGUCUAUUAAAUCUCAUUUUAACAUCUUUCAAAUAACGAGCACAAAAUAUCAUACACUCUUCUGCUAAAUAUCCUUCAACAAUAGAACUUUUCGGAUAGCAUUUGUUACAACAAUAAGACUUUAACGUCCCUAAAAAGUUAUAGCAUAAAACAUUAGUCAUAUGUUAUUUUAAGUAGAUUGGCUUGAUAAUCAAUAAAAACGUAAUCAAUCUAUUAACAAAUAAUACCUUUCAAUAGGAUACAUCCAUUGAUAAUAAACUAGCCUACCGACCUUUGCUUCAUAUGAAAUGUGGAUAACCAAAUGCAUUAUAAUAGUGAAAAAGUUUGGAGGAAAGAUCUUCUGUAAAUGACAUAAAGUAAUCACGGCUCGAUCUUGAACUUUGUUAAGCUCUUUCACAUUCAUACAUUUCUGACAUAGAGAUUUAAAUAUGUUACUCAAUUCAAUUACCACAGAAGUCACUUGCUUUGACAUUGAUGAACAUAAAGUAAUUGAAAGUAAGUCUUGCAUCAAAAUGUGAUAAUCAUGUGACUUCGAUGAAAAAAAAUUUUUCUCCUUCAUAUUCACAUAUUUUGAUAUAUUUAAUGUAUAACCAUCUGAAACUUUGACAUUUUUUAAAACCUUGUAAAACACAUUUUUUUUAGCUUUUGAAAUCUCAAAACAAGCAGCAGGCAAUCGAUAUUUAUCAUUAGGAAGCAACAUCGGAUGAAGGUCACGGUGAAUCCCCAUAUCAACUAGGUCAAGCCGACUCUUUAAACCAUCGUUGGAUCUUCUAUUUACAUUGAGAAUUAUCUCGAUAAAAUUUUUGCAAACAUUUUUUUCUAUGUACAUCAAAUCAAUGUUAUGGCGUAACAAAUUAUAUUCCCAAUAAGCAACUCAAAAAAUAUAUUUUUUUUUCAUAAUUCAGACUCAUUGGGAUCAUCUACUUCAUCGUUCUCUUCAUCACUUUGAACAUCAAGAUCACCAAUUUCUAUAUGAUUAUUACCAAUUUGCAUAAUACGAAAUCAGAUACCUUCAAAGAUGUCCUCAUUCUUUUCCUUGAUUGAGUUAUUUUUCAUAUGUGAAAUUGAUAUCUUUUAACUUUGACAAGAUAUUAGACCCACUAAUAGGUAAAGACAAUCUCCUCAACUUUUCAAUUUCAUCAACAAGAUAUUUUUAAAAUCUAAAUCGAUAAUUAUCAUCUAACCAUCGAUGAUGUCUCAUAUAAUAAAGCUUCUUACCAUUACAUAACCAUGUCGAACAUGUCUGUGCAGUACAAUAUGGACAAACAUAAUGACCUUUUAUACUUCAACCAGAUAAAUUCACAUAAGUAAAAAAAUCAUUGAUAGUUCAUAAUAAAACAACACGCAUAUUAAAGUUCUCUGCUUUUGAUAUAUCAUAGGUCUCAACUCCUUCUCAUAAUUACUUUAACUAUUUAAUAAGAGGUUGUGAGUAGAUGUCUAUAUCAUUACCCGAACCUUUUUCUCCAAGAAUUAUCAUAGACAAUAUAAAUGACUAUUGCUUUAUAGCAAUCUAUAGUGAUAAAUUGUAAGAAAUCAAUACAACUGGCUAAGUACUAUAAGAAGUACUCAUAAUUUAGAAUGGGUUGAAUCCAUCAGAUGUCAAUCCAAGCAUAAUAUUUUGAGGAUUAGAUGUAAAGUCUGAAAAUCAAGAAUGAAAUGACUUUCAUGCCAAAGAAUCUGUAGGAUGCCUUAAUGAUCCAUCAUUCAUCCGCAUCUUAUGAUGUCACCUCAUUGAAUCUGUAAUUUUAAAAGACAUGUAGAGUUGUUGAGGUCUUUGUAUUAAUGAAAAAUAAUGUAAAACUUUAACAAGCUUCUUUUUAACACAUACCUUAUCACCAUCAUCAUUCAACCUUUCAUUGAGAUUUUUAUCGACCCAACGAGAAAUAUCACACAAAUGAUAAGAUUCUUAAUUUUUUUUAUCCUUCUAAUACAACAUGCAAUCAUUAUGAUAACUAUGAAUUUUUUCAUAUUCGAGACCUAAAUCCUUGAUCAUCUUCUUUGCUUUCUUACAAGAUUUAAGAAUUUUUACAAAAAGAAACAUUUCUUUCAUAAACUGUAAUAAUAAAGUUAGAGAGUUUUUCGUUCAUCUGCAUAAGCAUUUCAAGUGAAAAAAAUGAACACAGAAAGAUAACCUUGAAUGCUUCGAUCUCUCAAAAAGUUUUUCAUUCAUCUCUUCAAGCAACCUAUAAAACUUUGAUGCUUCUCUUAUUGGUUGUUGGUCACGUACACCAAUCUCAGGUUCACCAAAUUUAUGCAUUUCAACAUUGGACUGAUUAAAUCCUUCAUUUUGGGGAAAAAGAUUAUGAAAAUUUUAGUUAUGAAUGGUAAAAGCAUCUCAUAAUAUGCCUUUAAUGUCAUUUGCUAUAAAGGGAUCAUGUUAGUAAUUGAGAGCCUUUGAUGUUAAAGAAACUGUAGUGAAAGACUUUGACUGUAUAGACUCUCCAUGAAAAUAUCAAUUAACAUAUCUCGAUAGAAAUCCAAUACAAAUUAAAUGUUCAUAAACAACUUGACGCAUUUGCCACUCGAUAUUAGCACAUUUCACACAUGGGCAUAAUAUCAUAUUAUCUUCACUUGUAUUCUCAAAUGCAAAAUUAAAAAAAAUUUUACUCUAUUUUUGUACUCUUGACUUAAUCUUGACUUUUGCAUCCAACUCUUAUCCAUUUAUUAGUUGCUACACUAUUAGACCAAAUGUAUAUAAAUAAUUAAUAUGAAAAUGAACAUGUAUAAUUGCAUAGUUUACUAUGUUUUAAAUAAAAGAUAACAACAAGACCAGUACUUACACAAAACGAGAACUCCUUGUUGUGAAGUAAUUUAUCAGCUACUAGAUAUUACGAUUGUUAAAACUCUACUGCUAACGUAGACAGUUCCCAAAAGUAUUUGUAGUUGGGGUUGACAUAAGGUGAAAUAGGGUGGGUUUUGUAGAAAAUUUUUUUCACCAAAAAAAAAAUCAUGAAUUGCAAAAGUUAAAAGAAUAGUCGAAUGAAAUAAAAGCUAAAGUCAAUAAGUUAUGAAUAGUCGAAAUAGGGUUCUAAAAGACAAUGCUCGAAUACUAAAAGUGGAAGAAAAGAGAAAGUAAAUUGUACUUGAUUUGAAAAAAGAAAUAGUAUAAUAAUAAAGAUGAAGCUUGAAGUUGGUGAUUGGAUGCGCUAAGUUUGAAAAGAUUCUUAUUGGACAAGAUUAUGGAAGACGUUUACUAAAAAAAAUACCAACAAUAAUUUUUUCCUAAAUAUUUUUUGAAUAUAAUAUAGGUACCUUGAAUAUAUCACCACACAAAUUUUAACAUGGUUAUUGAAGGUGUAUAUCCAAAAAAGAUACCUUUUAUAAUUUCUAUCAUAGUUUGUAUAUAAUUAAUGAAUGUGGUUGCAGAAAAUAAUACCUUCAAUAAUUUUCUUAAAAAAAAAUUUUUGAAUUAGUAAAGGCGUCUUUUAUUAUGACACGCCUUCAAUAUAUCACGAUGGUUAUAGAAUGCGUUUAUUCAAAAAUGUGCCUUCAAUAUACUUUUAAACUUAGUAAUCUAUUACUGAAGGCCUUCGUUAAUAAUAGACGCCUUCAAAAUUUGUUCAUUAAAAAUUUUGGAAAUUAUUAAAGAAAUCUUCUACUAUAAAAUACCUUCUAUAUACCGUCAUAAAAAUUCUAACACUGUUAUUGAAGGCAUAUAUCCAAGAAAGAUACCUUUAAUAAUUUCUAUUAUAGUUUAUAGAUAAUUACUGAAGACGGUUACAUAUAAUAAUGCCUUCAAUAAUUUUCUUAAAAAAAAAUUUUUGAAUUAUUAAAGGCGUCUUUUAUUAUGACAUGCCUUCAAUAUACCACGAUAGUAAUGAAAGGUGUUUAUUAAAAAAGUACCUUCAAUAUACCUUUAAACUUAGUAAUCCAUUAUUGAAGGCGUUUGUUAAUAACAAAAGCCUUCAAAAUUUUUUCACUAAAUAUUUUGAGAAUUAUUAAAGACUUCUUCUACUGUAAAAUACCUUAUAUAUACCACCACACAAAAUUCUAACACUAUUAUUGAAGGCAUAUAUCCAAGUCCUAUCACAGUUUGUCGAUAAUUAUUUAAGGCAGUUACAGAUAAUAAGGUCUUUAAUAAUUUUCCUAAAAUUUUUUUUUUGGAUUAUUAAAUGCGUCUUUUAUUAUGACACACUUUCAAUAUAUCACGAUGGUUCUAGAAGGAGUUUAUUAAAAAAUGUGCCUUCAAUAUACCUUUAAACUUAGUAAUCCAUUACUAAAAGCUUUUGUUAAUAACAAACGCCUUCAAAAUUUUCUCACUAAAUAUUUUAAAAAUUAUUAAAGGCGUCUUCUACUGUAAAAUGCUUUCUAUAUACCGUCACAAAAAUUUUAACAUUAUUAUUAAAGGCGUAUAUCCAAGAAAGAUGCCUUUAAUAAUUUCUAUCAUAGUUUGUAGGUAAUUACUAAAUGUAGUUGUAGAUAAUAAUGCCUUCAAUAAUUUUUUUAAAAAUUUUUUUUCGAAUUAUUAAAGGCAUCUUUUAUUAUGACACGCCUUUAAUAUACUACGAUGGUAAUUAAAGGCAUUUAUUAAAAAAGAUGCAUUCAAUAUACUUUUAAACUUAGUAAUCCAUUACUGAAGGCGUUUAUUAAUAACAGACGCUUUCAAAAAAUUUUCACUAAAUAUUUUAAAAAUUAUUAAAAGCGUCUUCUACUGUAAAAUACCUUCUAUAUACCGUCACACAAAUUCUAACACUAUUUUUAAAGGCGUAUAUCCAAGAAAGAUGCAUUUAAUAAUUCCUAUAAUAGUUUGUAUAUAAUUACUGAACAUGGUUGCAGAUAACAACACCUUCAAUAAUUUCUCAAAAAAAAUUUUCUCGAAUUAUUAAAGACGUCUUUUAUUAUAAAACGCCUUCAAUAAUUUGUUAUAAACUUUAGAAAUCCAUUAUUAUUGAAAGCGAUUUUUUAUUGAAAAUGCUUUUUAUAAAUUUUAAGAAUUAGAAAAUGCAUUUUUUUUUUUUAUAAAAUAUGCUUUAAUAAGUUGGUUGGACAAUUUUAAAGGCUUAUAAUUAAAGAUGUCUUUUUUAUAAAAAACACUUUCAAUAAUCUCCAAUAAAAUUUUUAGAUGAUUAUUAAAGGCGUUGUUUCAUGGAAAUGCCUUUAAUAAUUAAUUUUAUAUUCAUUUCCCUGCCUUGAACAUAGGAAUUUGCAGAGGGUUGGUACAUAGAAUGAUUAAAAGUUUCGUUAUUCAACCAAACAAACCAAACCUUUAAACAUAUUUCUAGUAGACCAUUGCUUUCUUUCUCUCAUUCAUCGCCACUGACCUUUAACAAAUCAUCGUUGCGAAUCUCUAUUUUAACCGAUAAAUCUUUUUUUUUAGUUUACUGUAUUAUUUACAAUAUUCAAUAGAGAAUUUUUGUUUUUUCAGUUCCUUAAUAUUGACAUAUGCGUUUAUUUAUUUUCAUUAACAUCAUUGUCAGCAUAGUCAUCCAAGAUUCUAUUCAUAUUGCAAGUAUGCUAUUUUUAUGUAGUACGCAUUAAAUAUUAUGGUUUGCUGAACCUUGUUGACUGAUAUUGUAUUACCAAAUGGUAUUGUAUGAUAUUGAGGAUCUAAAUAAUAUUUCAUGUUGAAUGGUUUGUUGAACCUUAUUGUCUAAUAUUAUUUUACUGAAUAGGUUUGAAUGAAAUUGGGAGACUGAAUGGUGUUUCUGAAUAGUUUGUUGAAGGGUGUGUAUGAGUACAUUGCUGAAUGGUGUGUUAAAUGUUGUUUCUGUACAUAGUAUGGUAUUAAUUGUAUUAAAUUAAGUACAAUGAUCAAUUUAGAAGGUCAUAUUGUGUAAUUCGUAUAAUUAUGAUCAAUAUUACAGGUAAUAUGAACUUCGAACAAUAUUAUUCUCUUUUUAAUAAACAUGCAGAAGAAAGAAGUGUAGGCCAAAAAAGAAAGGGAAUGAGCCCAAAUAAACAAAUCAAAGUGAAUGACAUAAAAAUUCAUGUUGACUUUAAUCAAAGUGGGUAACCUGUGUCGAAAGAAAUUGUCAAGAUGGCUACUCAUAUUAGAGCCAUCGUCCGUCGGAGGAUUUCAAUUAUGUACACUGAUUGGUGAUGAGUUUCUGAUGAUCUAAAGGAUGAGAUAUGGCAAUUCGUUGUGGUAUGUUUAUUCAACUAUUUUGUAAAAUUUAUUAUAUGAUCAUUUAAUUGAAAUUCAAUGUGUUGAUUUUAUUUGUGUUAACUUAUUUAGGAACGGUUCGACGUCCCAAUUGAAUGUCAAAAGAUUGUGUUACAAUCUGCUGAGAAAGCUUUCAUAGACUUUAAAAGCAUAUUGAUAAUCCGAUAUAUUUUACUGUUGGCUGGUGAAGGUGAUGUUUUGGCGGUUCCACCUACGGUAUAUACAAAUGUCAUAAGUGUUGAAGAUUGGACAAAUUUUAUUCAAUAUCGACUUUCAGAAGAUUUCUCGAUAGUAAACCUAUUAUCAAAUUAAUUCAAGUUUAUAAGUCUUUAUGCAAUAUAGCCUUUCAUCUUCAUAUGUGAUUGACGUAAUUUUUUUAUUUUAUAAAAAAUCAAAGAACAACAUCGGGACAUUCGGGCCGAACAAUAAUAUCACCAUCAGACAGUAAGAAAAGGAUAAGCAAAUGUGAAGUAUGAGCUUGUAUAUAUUCGCACACUUAUUUUAUACUCAUUAAUGAAUAUUUAUGAACAUUCAUUUCAUACAUUCUAAUUCUUUUAUUACAGUAAUUUAAUAGGAAUCAGUGAGCUCAAACACAGAAGUUUUAAGAUGGGAUGUCUAAAAAUAAAGACAUCUACGAAAAAAUAGAUCUUUCGUAGAUGAAGCAACCGAAGAAAUGAUAAAAAAGAUUGUAUGUAUAACUAUUUUUUUGAUAUAAUAUAUAAUUGGCAUUGUGAUUGUAUGCACGAGUGUAUACUACCUUGUGUAGAUUUGUUCUAACAGCCCAACUUAUUAUUGUCUUUCAGGAUAAUUAUGCUAUCAAAGUAAAAUUUGAUAAACUGAUAAUUCAAUAUGGCAAAGAUCUUUUAUUUUUAGCAUUAGGCCUAAAGAAAGGCAUGGUCGAGUUUGUGGGGUUAGUAAAUUUGUCUUGUCAUCAACGUAUUUUGGUAAACAAUAAAAAACCUCACGAUUGAGAAAUACAUAAUAUGAAACAAUAAUUGAGCAACAACAGUAACAAAUUAAUGAUCAAGAGUAACGCCUCAAUGACCAACAGUAAAUACUCGUUACUUUGGAGUCCAUGUUGGUAGCAACACAACAAGUUAUGCCAGUACCCUAGCUUGAUAGCAUCAUCUCCGUACGAGAAUCUUUCAUUGUAAGUAAAGAAGCCAUCCCAUCAUCUGUUAUCACUCAAGAAGUAUGAUAUUGUUCAUAAUUUUAACAUUAAUUUGUUUAUUAUAUUAAUUGAUUUAUUUUUAAUACUUAUAUUUCAUUAAAUAUUGUAGGAGAAUAUUCAAACUGAAAGUCUGAACCUUGUCCAGGCUUUCAUGGAUGAGUUAACAAAAUAUUCGUUGGAGCAUUAUACCGAUGAAAACUUCAUAUCCAUUGAGUCUGAGAAAGAUUUAUUUGAUAAACAAUCAUUUUUUUCAUUAAUAUGGAUGAGGUGAAAGAAUUUUGUGAAAUGGAUGAAUUAUCAACUGCUGAAAUCAUUGCUUAUAUGAGGUUAGCUUAUAAAUACAAAUAUGCACAUUCGAUAUAUAAUAAGUUAGUAUUAUGGUGUAAUACUAACAAGCAGUGUUGAUUGUUAUCGUAUAGCUUCCUAUAUAGAGAGCUGAAGGAGAGACAGUUGAUGAAUAGAUUUAGAUUCAUUGACCCCAACUUCAUUAGUAAGCAGAGUGGCACAAUCGUGUUUUGUGCUAAUCAUGUGAUCCUAUGCAUAAAAAAAUCGACUGAUUAUUAUUUGCUCUCGUAUAAUGCGUAGUAAGCUAUAUUCUAACCUUAAUUACUCCAACAUACUCCAUUCUAUGAUCUGAUGCAUAUUUUGAGUAUAUCAUUGUUAUUAUUUUACAAUCGUCAUUAAGUACUUAUUGUGAUUGACACCAAAUCCUUAAUGCCAUACUUUUUUAAUUUAGUUAAUCUAACAACGAUGCCUAACCCCGAUAUUCAAACUUUUAUAAAGAUGUAUUACUGUACUUUAUUAUAUUAUGUAUGUUCUGUUUCUUCAUAAGAAAUUUUAUUUAUGUUCUCACUAGUUUUUUUUUUCAAUUUAGGAUAAUAUCUGUAUUCAAUAAGAAGAUAAAGAAACCGAAAUGGGUGUCAUUACCGGUAAAUGUCAAAUUUAUUCCUUUAAUGCUGAGUUUGUUUAGAUAAAUAUUUUUUAAAUUGACUCAAUUUAAUUUUCAGGUACCUCGUCAACCCAGUAAUAUUGAAUGUGGAUAUUAUAUCCUUCGUUUUAUAUGGGAGAUAGUGUUACAUGAUUUUAUGAUCACACCAUUCAAGGUUAGUAUAAAUUUCAUAAACUCGUUAUAUAUUCAAAAAAAUAAAAUGGUACGUUAUGUUCUCAUUUCUUAACAUUUACUUUUAAUUUUUUUUUUAGUGGGAGGGUAAAGAAGGCUUCACGAAAGAGGAGCUUGAUAAAGUUUGUAAAGAAUGGUGUGAUUAUGUAUUAUCAUUUAUCAAUAUUGAUAAACUUUCAGGUUAGCCAUUGUUGGUUGAAUGUAAAUAUAUAUGGAACAAAUUGUUAUAAUAUUUUUAACAUGCCAUAUUGAAUGGAAACUUUAAGUUUGUACAUUGGGGGUAUUGGUUUAAUAUUAUUGUUAUACUUAAUAUGAAUAUACUAUGUGUACUUAAUAAAUUAUUGAGUACAAUUAUUUCAGAAAAAUAUAUUAAUAUGGCAACGUUAUCAGUUUUAAUUUCGGAUGUGUAGUCCAUUUUUUGAAAUACAACAAUGUUCAUUAUGCAAAUUCCAAAAUGUAAUUCAUAUUAUUAUAUAUAUAAACUAAAUAUUUUUUGGGCAUAAAUAUACAACUGACAGCAAAUAUUUUUUUGGGUAUAAACCUACAACUGACUUCACAUAUAAAGUAUCAAUUAUGUUUUUUUGAUGCGAUUAAUGAAGGUGUUUUUAGCAAAAAAACAUCUUCAAUCAUCCCUAACAGAAAAUAUUAAAGGUAUUUUUUACCAAAAUCGCUUUCAAUAAUCUCCCAAAAAAUUAUUGUUUGGAACAUUAAAGGCAUUUUGGGCAAAAAACACCUUAAAUAAUACCAACUAAAAAUUAAUCAAAUGGAUUAUGAAGGACGUUUUUUUACGGGUAACGCCUUCAAUAAUCCGUAACAAAAUGCUUAUGAAAAUGUUUUUGGAUAUAACUCCCUUCAAUAAUCCGACCAUUAAAAUUUAUUUUUAGAAAUAUUAAAGGCGUUUCGAGUGAAAAACACCUUCAAUCAUCCUAUCCAAGUUUUAUCUAUGAAAUAUUGAAGGCGUUUAUUACAAAACCGCUUUUAAAAAUAAAAAAAAAUUUACUGAUUGGAUUAUAAAAGAUGAGUUCAGCCAAAAACACCUUCAAGAAUCGACUCCAUAUUUUUUCUAUUGAUUAUUAAGGGCGUCUUUCCACAAAAAAUGCCUUCAAUAUUCUAUGAAAAAUUUUUUAAAGCAAUUAGUCAAGGCAAUUUUGCCAAGAAAAUGCCUAAAAUAAUCAAUAACAAAUAAUCUGUGCCUAAACCCAAAAAAAGGCUAAAAGAUGGAUUGAACCAACAACCUUAUGGUAAACAUCCGUAUGAUCUACACAAUUUGAUAAGCUUAAUAUUGAAUGUGCUUAUAAAGAAAAUAAAUUUAAUAAGCCUGGGAAAAUUUUUGAUCCAAAUAUUAAAGGCAUUUCUUGUAGACAAUGCCUUCAUUAAUCUCAUAUAAUUUUUUAUGACGUGAUUAUUGGAGUGUUGUCGUAAAAAAUAAUUGGCUUAACUAUUCCUAAAUUUUCAAUAAAAAAUAUUCAACGACGUUUUGUUCGAGAAACGCCUCUAUAUCAAGUCUUUUGUAGCGUUUAUAAGUAACAACGCUGCUAUUUAAAUAUUUAGUGACGGUUGGAUAAUAAACACCUGAAGUUUUAUAAAAAUAUAAAAAUUAACGACGUUUGUAAGUGAAAGAUCGCUACAAAACUGACGUUAAUACGUCAUUUUGCUGUAGUGUAUAUUUAAUAUAUACCUUUUUCCUACAUGUUUUUUCUUUUUGCUUUUCAUAGUUAUGAGUCUAUCCAAGGAUUCAACAUCUAGUCCUCCAUCUAUAUGCAGAUCUUGACAUAUAUUUGGAGGGGAUCAAUUAAUAAUACUCUCAAUAUUUUAAAUUAUUUGAAUAGUAUUGACUUUCAUGAAGUUUAAAAAGAAAAUUUUGAUUUUAAUAUAUUUAAUAUUAAAAUUAAAUUUUUUUAUAAAAUUAAAAUUACUUGACUUUUAAUAACAAAAAAAUUAAAAAAUCAUAAAAAUAAUUUUAAAAUAUAAAAAAAUAAAAGUUUUAGAUGAUAAAAAAUAAUUUUCGGACAUCUCAAAAAAGAAAAAUGAAAAAAAUGCGAGAGAGAGAGUAUAUAUUAUAUUUUAUCUUAUUUUUUUGAGGUGGUUUUUUAUCAUACUAUUAAUAUAUAUAUAUAUAUAUAUAUAUAUAGACACACACACACAAACAAUAUACUAAUAAAAAUAUGAUAAGCUCAUAAAAUUAUAAAACAAAAAUAUUAUUAUGACAACAUUAUUCUUUUAACAAUAAUAUGAUUUAUAAUUAAUCGUAGAAUUACUAAUUACACAAUCUAUCAAUAAAUUAUGAGAUUUUUUAUUUUUUGACAAUUUAAAAUUAAAAUAAAAAAAUAAAAAAGAAGUAUGAAUAAAUACUCAUUUAACAUUUUAUCAAAACAAAAAAAUAAAUAUAUUUUUUAAAAAAUGGAAAUGAAAAUUUGAGACUAAAAGUUAUAAUAUUUUUCUAUCCUUUUGUAAACUAGUUUCAAUAUGAAUUUUUUUUUUUUGUUGGAAAAAGAAUUUUAACACUUGAUAGACAUUUAAAGUAAAAAUAAAAGUAGAAAAUGAUAUGGAGAGAAGUUGUAGUAAGCUAAAUCUCUCUUUCUCUAAAUCUUCUAAACUUUGACCUCUCUUUGUACCAAAAAAAUGUAUAUUUGAUGCUUAAAUACUUGAAUCUUGUUGAGAAAGUUAGAAAGUUAAUUUGAUUUUUAUUAAGUUCAUUUGAUUGUAAUUUUAAAUUUAUGACAAAUCUUUUAAAUUUAAGAAUUUGUAAAUAAUAACUAUUGGAUAUAAUAAACGAACAAAUAUCAAUACGAUUUGAAUAUUUCUUAAAUUGUAAUAUAUAAAAUUAAGUUAUAAAACAUAAAAAAAAUUAAUAUUUUUAAUAUAGAAGGUUAAUUUAAAUAUAUUUUAUAUGAAUAUAUAUACAAGGGUGUUUAAAAAUUUUGGAAAGGGCCAAAGUCCCCUUCAGGUUCUCAUUACCAACCGCUUAUGCCUCCAUCACAUAUAUAAGUGUCUUGUUUGUCUAUCUUUAGUUGUUUCAAACAAAUAUGUCUUGUUUGAAAAGUUAAAUAAAAAUCAUUUUUACAUUUAUCUUAUUACUCUUAAUUAUACCCACAAACACUUCUUUUUACAAAAUAAAGAUAAUUCAAAAAAAUUAUAAAUCAAUGAAAAUCAAAAUUCAACUCAAAAUUUUUUAAAUAUUAUGCAAAAUCAAAAUGAAACAAAAUACACAAAACGGAAAAAAUUAUAUAUUAAAGAGCAAUUAAAUAUUGAUGUAUUUUCCUAUCAAGCAUAUGCAUACAUAGAGGUUUUUGGCCUAUUUUUCACCAAAUGAAAGAAACAACCCAAUUACAUACAAAUGUGCAAUUUGAUUUCCCAAUCUCAUGGCUGAAAAAGGGGGAUCCCAUAGUAAAGAUCUUAGGGUAUUUUUGUUUGUUUACUUACUAUAGCAGCAUGAAAUAGGUUAUUAAAACAAAUGUGUCUUUCACUCUUUCAGAAACACAAUCCCCAUAGUUGAAUUGGAACUAGAUUAACGACGAUUGCGUGAAGACAGAUUUUGACCAUAAAUGGUUGUUACACAAACUGGUUUGAUAUUAUGAUUGUGUAACCAUUUGGAAUAAGAAAAACAACUUCUCUAAUUCCUCCCUUUUUUCCAAUGGAUAAUAGUUUAUAAAAGGGUGACGGCUAAAUUUAGUCGGCAAAGAUGCCAUUAUUAGUUAAUUAUUUAUUAUUAUUACUAGUUUGAUGUGUAAUUUGAUUACGUUUUUUCGAAAAGUCGUGUCCCAAGAUAACUACUGCUUAUUUUAGUAACAGUUUUUUUCAUUAAUCAAGGAGUUAAAUCCUUUAUUUUUAUUUUUUAUUUUAUUUUUUUUAAUUUCUAAUUUAUCCUUAAAGUCUAUAUCCUAUUAUUUAUUUGGUUAAAAAUGACAAUACGUACAUAAUUUUUUAAAAAUUUAUAAACGUUAACUCUAAUGAUAUGUUUACUAAGAUAAGAAUUAAUCAAUUAUUUUUUUGUAUUUUUUAAUACAAUAUAAAAAAAAAAAAUAAAAAUAAAUUGAUACAUAAAAAUGAAUAAUAAAAAGAAAAAAAUCAAUUGUUACAGUAUUAGAACCGAUUAUAAAAUUAAACUUUUUGAAUUUUAAUUUUAAUUAUAAUUCAAAUGGUUAAAAAAAUCAAAUGAAAACGAAAUUAACUUGAAUUCCUUUGAUGAUUUAAUAAUUCUUUUGCAGAAAGCAUACAAUAAAGAGUAGGACUUGUAGGUUAAUCAAUGAAGGUAAUGCUCGAAAAAGAAAUGGAAUAAAGGAACAAGGCAGGAGAGGAAUUGCAACUUUUUUCAGUUAUUAGUCAUUACUUAUUUUUUUGGUAAAAGCAAGUUAAAAAAAAAUGGUGAAAGAGUGUCGUAGAAGAAGACUAAUGGGAGAGACCAAGACAGAAAACAACUGGAAAUAAUCCAAAUUACAGAUGACAUUAAUCUUAACAAUUGCAAAAGAUGAAGGAUUAUAUGUUGGGAUAAUUAAACAAAUGAAGCAUCCAAAACGAUCCUGUUUCAUGUCGAGUUGUUGGUGGGGAAUCGAGAAUGAAAUGAAACAGUGUGUUAUUCACUGAAUAAAUAGGAUUUGAUUUGAAAUUUUUUCAUUUUUUUCACAUUUCUAAUGUUCACAUAACGGAAUGACAGCAAUAAUUUGAAUAAAAAUUGUAUUGAUGUUACAUACAUAAAUAUUCAUGUGUAGCUUUUAAAUUAGGUAUUUAAAUUUUUUUUUUUAAGGUUGCAUAUGAUAAAUUGGGUCUAAAAGAAGAGAUUUGAAUUCUAAAAUUAGUAUAAGUUGUGUGAGAAAAAUAUGUAAAUAUGAUCAACAUAAUUUUUUUGGAAGUAACGAGUUUGUUUGUGUUUUAUUUAGUGUGAAUUUCGUUCUUGCAUUCUAUCUGUUUUUGAGUCCUGGACAAAUAAAAUCCUUUUAUUGGGCUGAACAAAAGAAAUCAAUUUAUUCCCAAAAAACGUAUACCUGUUACUGGGCAGGGAGACUAGGUCUUGGGCCUGGCUUGAUUUCGGCUGGGUUUUAGGGAAGAUGCUUAUAAUUAAUUAAUUACAUUAGAUACAAAAUAUAUUUAAAUCUGCUAAUCUUGUGUAAGUACAUUACUCGUUAAAUUAUAGAUACCACGAGUUGUGUAUUUGUAUUGUGUAAAUAUUAAAAUUUAUGUAUUUAUAUUUUUUAUAUCAAAAUUAUAUAUUAUAAUUCGUGUCGAUACUAAAAUAUAAAAUAUAUUUUUUAUUUUAUUAUAUUUAAAUAUAAUUAUUACUAAAAUUUUAAAUUAUGUUAUCAUUAUUAUUUUUGUAUUUAUAUUCAUGUCGUAUUAUUAUAUCAUAUUCUAGAUUAUUAGAUCUAAUAAAUUGUAUCAUUUUUAUUUUGGGAGAGGGGCAUUAAAGUGUAUGAAUUGUUAGCGUUGUAGAUAAAAAAAAAAAAAUCAUUAAUCUCAACCGGUUAAUAACAAAUUCAAUGAAAAUCUGUGAACUACUCUAUUAACUAGGGGAAGACUUAAGCUCCAGCGACAGCCAGGGUAAAAAUACCUGAAUAAAGAAUCAAUCAAUCUUUGCUUAUCAUGGAAAAACUCAGAAUAAACUAUUAACAUCGACACCCUUCCUAAUAUGAAAGCAUUAGAUUCCUCUUAUUAUAAUCUAAAUGGCAAGCUGCUAUCACAUCACUUCUACAGUUGAAAUGUGCUUAUAAAGAAGGGCGUGUGCCCAACACACUCCAUAUCCAAUAACUAUUUUCUUGCAUUCCUCUUAUAAUUUCCUCCUACAGCAUGCCAGCCCUAGAACUUGAUCAACAGAUCAGAUCUGAAAGCUUCAAAAACAAUAAUAAUAUUGAAGCUACAGAAACAUAUGAAGAAUAUAAAGUUGAGGUUUUUGAUUAUACCAAGAGGGCACAGUGGCUUCGAGCUGCUAUUUUAGGAGCCAAUGAUGGGUUGCUCUCUACGUCUUCUUUGAUGAUGGGAGUUGGUGCUGUACGUAAAGACUCCAAGACCAUGGUCCUUGCAGGGAUCGCUGGUUUGGUUGCUGGUGCUUGUAGCAUGGCGAUUGGUGAGUUGGUCUCAGUUUACUCACAAUAUGACAUUGAAUUGACUCAAAUGAAGAGAGAAACAAUGGCAAAAGAUUUUGCCGAUCAUUACUUCGAGACUAUGAAAAAAAGUUUGCCUAAUCCCUGGCAAGCAGCUGGUGCAUCUGCGCUUGCUUUUGCUGUUGGGGCUGUCAUACAGUUGCUUGCUGCUGCGUUCAUAAAGUUCUAUGUGGUGAGGUUAGUUGUGGUGCUGGCUGUUGCGAGCUUGGCCCUGUUAGGGUUUGGUGCGUUGGGAGCCCUGUUGGGGGGUGCACCCAUGUUGAAAGCAUCGUUAAGGGUGCUGGUAGGAGGAUGGCUAGCCAUGGGAAUAACUUUUGGCCUCACCAAGUUGAUUGGCCGCACAGGACUCUAAUCCAUCUUCCAUAUUUAAUAGCUUUUCCUUACAUGUUUUUUCCUUUUGCUUUUCAUAGUUAUGAAUCAAUCAAAGGGUUCAACAUAUGCUUCUCCAUCCCAUAGCUUUUCCCUACAUGUUUUUCCCUUUUGCUUUUUCAUAGUCCAAGGGUUCAACAUGUACUCCUCCAUCCCAUAUAUAAGUGUCCUGUUUGUCUAUCUUUAGCUGUUUCAAACAAAAUGUCUUGUUUGAAAACUGGAAUAAAAAUUAUUUUUCCUUUCAUCUUAUUACCCUUAAUUAUACGUACAAACAUUUUUUUUUUCAAAAUAAAGGUAAUUCAAAAAAAAAUUUAUAAUCAAUGAAAAUCAAAAUUCAACUCAAAAUUUUCUAAAUAUUACGUAAAAUCAAAAUGAAACAUAAUACAUUAAAAAGCAAUUGAAUAUGUUGUAUUUUCCUAUCAAAUAUCAUACCAAAAUUAACAAGGAGAAAUAACAAGCAACAAAUUCUUGAAUGAUUGAAAACCAAACAUAUGCAUUGAGGUUUUUGGCCUACUUUUCACCAAAUAAAAGAAACGACCCAAUUACAUACAAAUAUGCAAUUUACUUUCCCAAUCUCAUGGAUGAAAAUGGGGGGUCCCAUAGUAAAGAUCCUAGGGUAUUUUUGUUUGUUUACUUACUAGAAGCAUGAAAUAGCUUAAAUAAAUGUGUUUUUUUACUCGUUCAGAAGCCCAAUCUCCAUAGUUGAAUUGGAACUAGAUUGACGAUGAUUGCAUGAAGACAGAUUUUGACCACAAAUGGUUGUUCCACAAACUGGUUUGAUAUUUUGAUUGUAUCUAACCAUUUGAAGAAGAAACUUCUCUAAUGCCUUCCCUUUUUACAAUUGAUAAUAGUUUAUUCAAGGAUGGAGGCUAAAUUUAGACGGCAAAGAUGCCAUUAUUAGUUAAUUAUUAAUUAUUAUUACUAGUUUGAUGUGUAAUUCGAUUACGUUUUUUUUUUUUUUCAAAAAGUCGUUGUCCCAAGAUAACCACUACUUAUUUUAGUAGCAAAAUUUUUUUUUGACCUUUAUUCAAGGAGUUAAAUCCUUUAGGUUAGUUUGGUUUGUGUUUUUAUUUUUUUAAUAACAUGAAAAACAAAAAAUACAAAAUAAAUUGAAACUUUGAAAGCAAAAGUUAAUUGUUGCAGUAUCUAUUCUAAAAUUGAAGAUAUUGAAUUCGAAUUUUGUUUAUAAUUUAAAAUACCAAAAAUAAAAACAACCAAAUGAAGUUGAAAUUAAAUUGAAUUUCUUUUGAUGAUUUACUGAUUUCAUUUGCAGAAAGCGUGUUGUAAAAAGUAGGGCUUAUAGAAUAAUCGAUGAAGGUAAUGCUUGAAAAAGAAAUGGAAUAAAGGAACAAAGCAUAGGAGGAAUCGCAACUUUUUUCAGUUAUUAGUCAUUUACUUAUUCUUUUGGUAAAAGCAAGUUAAAAAAAAAAAUGAUGAAAGAGUGUUGUAGGAGGCAAGACUUUGAUGGUUGAUACCAAAAUAGAGAACAACUUCACGUAAUCCAAUUACAAAUGACAUUAAUCUUAACAAUUGCAAAAGAUGAAAGAUUAUGUUGGAGUAAUUAAACAAAUGAAGCAUCCAAAACGAUCCAGUUUCGUGUCAAGUUGUUGGUGGGGUAUGGAGAAUGAAAUGAAACAGUCUAUUAACUCAUAUAUUCAGUUAUUCACAGAAUAAAUAGGCUUUGAUUUGAAAUUUUUCAUUGUUUUCACAUUUCUAAUGUUCACUUCUUUUUUUUUCAUAAAAAAAAAAAUCACAUCUUUUUAAGUCCCAAAUAAGAAUAAAAAAACCAUUUAAAAACAUAAAUAAUACAUAUAUUUUUGUUUAUUUAUUUAUAAUUGGACAUGGUGUCAUUUUGUGAAAAUUCUGUUUCUCGUCCUAAAUAUUUGGUAUUCUUGUUUAGAGCACUCCUCUGCUACGAUUUGAAUUUGAAUUUGAAUUGUGUGGCAACCUGUAAGUUACUGCUUACCUGCAGGCAUGUGUUAAGAGAAUCCAAGGUGAUGAAAGUGGGCACAAGCAUUGCACUGGUCAAUAUUUUGAUUAUUGGUCUUGUAUUGAUAAAUGCGUAAGUAGUUUUAUUUGCUUAGCCUCAUUUUGGUUAUAUUUUGUAACUUGUCCUGAUACCCCAACUUGGCGGAAUGCAGGUUGCACCAUCGCUAUUCUCGAAACUGAAAUAACCAGGGCCAAUGUUGUGUAAGUUAACAAUAGCAUCACGUCCUGCUGUUUUGAGUUAGAAAGCCAGUGAUUGUUUCAGAAACUAUCGAUCUUGUAUUGUGAACUUGAGAUGCCUCGUGGCUAAUCAGAGAACUGUUAAAAUUUUGUGUUACUGUGGAAACGUUUAAUGAUUAUCAAUAUAUUUGGAUCCUUGGAGAAAUGCCUGCCUAUGGGCUGGUCAGAAGUGCGAUAACGGAAUGACAGCAAUAAUUUGAAUAUAAAUUGUGUUGAUGUUACAUACAUAAACAUUCAAGUGUAGCUUUCAAAAUUAGGUAGUUAAAUGGUUUUUUUUAAAGGUUGCAUAUGAUAAUUUGGAUCUAAAGAAGAGAUUUGAAUUUUAAAAUUAGUAUAAAUUGUGUGAGAAAAACAUGUCAAUAUGAUCAACAUAAUUAAUCUUAGAGUAAAGAGUUUGUUUGAUUUUUGUUUAGUGUGAAUUUCGUUCUCACAAUAUAUCUGUAUUUAAGUCCCGCACAAAUAAAAUCCUUUUAUUGGGAUGGGCAAAGAAUCAAUUUAUUCCCAAUAAACGUACAUCUGUUCAUAGGCACGGAGACUCGGCUCAAGGGCCUGGCUUGAUUUGGGCUGGGUUCUAGGGAAAAGGUUUAUAAUUAAUUUUCAUUUUUUUUUUAAGUUCCUAAUCUAUCGAUUUGUGUUUUUUUUUUUAAGUAUCUAAUUUUCUCGUAAACUUUUUACCCUAUAACAUUUUUGGGUAAAGAGGAUAUUAUAGGUUUAAACUUUUUUAACUCAUAAUUUUCAAGUGCUAACUAUAAUAACAUGCUAAUUAAUCAAAUGAUAGUCGAUGAAUAAUUUAUAUAUUUAUAUAAUAUUUUAUACGAAAAUUAUAUAUUAUAAUUAAUAUUAAAAUAAAAAUAUAAAUUUUUUUUAUUUUGUUAAGUUAAUAUAUAAUUAUUACUAAAAUUUUAAAUCAUGUUACUUUUUUUUUGCAUCGUGUUUAUGUCAUAUAAUUAUAUCAAAUUUUAAAUGAUGAGAUUUAUUAAAUUAUAUAUAUAUUUUUUUUUGGGAGAGGGGCACUAAAGUAUAUGAAUUGUUAACAUUGCAGAUAAAAAAAUCGUUAAUCUCAACCAGUUAAUAACAAAUUCAGUGAAAAUCUGAGUACUGCUCCAUUAACCAGCAACAACUAGGGGAAAAAUAACUGAAUAAAGAAUAAAUCAAUCUGUUGCUUGUCAUGGAAAAACUCAAAUCAAACUUUUAUAUAGUAUCCAUCCCCUUCCUAGUGUGAAAGCAUUAGACUCCUCUUAUUAUUGUCUAAAUUCUACAGUUGAAAUGUGCUUAUAAAGAAGGGCGUGUGCCGUCCACACUCCAUAUCCAGUAACCUUACAUUCCCCUUACAUUGUCCUCCUAUACCAUGCCAGCCCUAGAACUUGAUCCGGAGAUCAGGUCUGAAAACUUAAAAAACAAUAGUAAUAUUGAAGCUGCAGCAACAAAUGAAGAACAUAAAGCCUAGGUUUUUGAUUAUGCCAAGAGGGGCAAAGUGGCUUCGAGCUGCUGUUUUAGGAGCCAAUGAUGGGUUGCUCUCUACGGCUUCUUUGAUGAUGGGAGUUGGUGCUGUACGUAAAGACUCCAAGACCAUGGUCCUUACGGGGAUCGCUGGUUUGGUUGCUGGUGCUUGUAGCAUGGCGAUUGGUGAGUUGGUCUCAGUUUACUCACAAUGUGACAUUGAAUUGAUUCAAAUGAAGAGAGAAAUCAUGGCAAAAGAUUUUGCCGAUCAUGACUUCGACACUAAGAGACAAAGUUUGCCUAACCCCUGGCAAGCAGCUGGUGCAUCUGCGCUUGCUUGUGCUUUUGGGGCUGUCAUACCGUUAGUUGCUGCUGUGUUCAUAAAUGUUUAAGUGGUGAGGUUAGUGGUGGUGCUUGGCCCUGUUAGGGUUUGGUGCGUUGGGAGCCCUUUUGGGGGGUGCACCCAUGUUGAAGGCGUCGUUAAGGGUGCUGGUCGGAGGAUGGUUAGCCAUGGGAAUAACUUUUGGGUUCACCAAGUUGAUUGGUCGUUCAGGACUCUAAUCCAUCUUCUAUAUUUAAUAUAUACCUUUUUCCCACAUGUUUUUUCUUUUUGCUUGUCAUAGUUAUGAGUCUAUCCAAGGAUUCAACAUCUACUCCUCCAUCUAUAUGCGGAUCUUGACAUAUAAUUUGAGGGAUCAAUUAAUAAUACUCCAAAUAUUUUAAAUUAUUUGAAUAGUAUUGACUUUCAUGAAGUUUAAGAAAAAAAUUUCGAUUUUAAUGUAUUUAAUAUUAAAAUUAAAAUUUUUUUAUAAAAUUAAAAUUCCAUAACUUUUAAUAACAAAAAAUUAAAAAAAUCAUAAAAAAUAAAAGUUUUAGAUGAUAAAAAAAAUAAUUUUGGGGCAUCUCAAAAAAGAAAAAUGAAAAAAAUGUGAGAGAGAGAGUGUAUAAUAUAUUUUAUCUCAUAUUUUGAGGCGUUUUUUUAUCAUACUAUUAAUAUAUAUAUAUAUAUAUACACACACACACACAUACACAAACAAUAUACUAAUAAAAACAUGAUAAGCUCAUAAAAAUUAUAAAAUAAAAAUAUUAUUAUGACAACAUUAUUCUUUUAAUAAUAAUAUAAUUUAUAAUUAAUCGUAGAAUUACUAAUUACACAAUUUGUCUAUAAAUUAUGAGAUUUUUUUUACAAUUUAAAAUUAAAAUAAAAAAAGCAUGAAUACAUAAUCAUUUAACAUUUUAUCAAAACAAAAAAAUAAAUAUAUUUUUAAAAAUAUGGAGAUGAAAUUUUGAGACUCAAAGUUAUAAUGUUUUUCUAUCCUUUUGUAAACUAGUUUCAAUAUGAUUUUUAUUUGUUGGAAAAAGAAUUUUAACACUUGAUAGACAUUUAAAGCAAAAAUAAAAGUAGAAAAUGAUACGGAGAGGAGUUGUAGUAAGCUAAAUCUCACUUUCUUUAAAUCUCCUAAACUUUGACCUCUCUUGUACCAAAAAAAUAUAUAUAUUUGGUGCUUAGUUGAAUACUUUAAUUUUUCAAGAAUGUUGAAAUGUUAAUUUAAUUUUUGUUAUGUUCAUUUUAUUGUGAUUUAAAUUUUAUGACAAAUCUCUUAAUUUUAAAAAUUUGCAAAUAAUAACCGUUGGAUAGAAUAAAUGAACAAAUAUCAAUACAAUUUAAACAUCUCUUAAAUUGCAAUAUGUAAAAUUGAAUUAUAAAACACAAAAAAAAGAAAAUUAAUAUUUUUAAUUUAUAAGGUCAAUUUAAAUAUAUUUUAUAAGAAUAUAUAUACAUGCUAAAGGGUGUUUCAAAAUUUUGGAAAGGGCCAAGUUCCCCUCAGGUUCUCAUUACCAACCACCCAUUCCUCCAUCCCAUAUAUACGUGUCUUGUUUGUCUAUCUUUAGUUGUUUCAAACAAUAUGUUUUGUUUGAAAAGUUAAAUAAAAAUCAUUUUUACACUUAUCUUAUUGCUCUUAAUUAUACCUACAAACACUCUUUUUUUUUUUCAAAAUAAAGAUAAUUAAAAAAAAUUAUAAAUCAAUGAAAAUCAAAAUUCAACUCAAAAUUUUUAAAAUAUUAUGCAAAAUCAAAAUGAAACAAAAUACACGAGACGGAAAAAACUAUAUAUGAAAAAGCAAUUAAGUAUUGAUGUAUUUUCCUUCGUAUAUAGAAGUUUUUGCCCUAUUUUUCACCAAAUGAAAGAAACAACCCAAUUACAUACAAAUAUGCAAUUUGAUUUCCCAAUCUCAUGGCUGAAAAAGGGGGAUCCCACAGUAAAGAUCCUAGGGUAUUUUUGUUUGUUUACUUACUAUAGCAGCACGAAAUAGGUUAUUAAAACAAAUGUGUUUUUCAGUCGUUCAGAAACACAAUCCCCAUAGUUGAGUUGGAACUAGAUUAACGACGAUUGCAUGAGGACAGAUUUUGACCAUAAAUGGUUGUUACACAAACUGGUUUGAUAUUAUGAUUGUCUCUAACCAUUUGGAAGAAGAAAAACAACUUCUCUAAUUCCUCCCUUUUUUUUCCAAUUGAUAAUAGUUUAUAAAAGGGUGACGGCUAAAUUUAGACGGCAAAGAUGCCAUUAUUAGUUAAUUAUUUAUUAUUAUUACUAGUUUGAUGUGUAAUUUGAUUGCGUUUUUUCGAAAAGUCGUGUCCAAGAUAACUACUACUUAUUUUAGUAACAAUUUUUUUCCAUUAAUCAACGAGUUAAAUCCUUUGGGUUAGUUUGGCUUUUGUUUUUUAAUUUCUAAUUUAUCCUUAAAGUCAAUAUCCUAUUAUUUAUUUGACUAAAAAUGAUAUUACGUACAUAAAUUUUUUUAAACUCGUAAAACUUUAAUUUUAAUGAUAUGUCAAUUGAGAUAAGAGUUAAUCAAAAAAUUUUUUGUUUUUUUAAUACAAUAUAAAAACAAAAAAAUAAAAAUAAAUUGAUACAUAAAAACGAAUAAUAAAAAGCAAAAAUCAAUUAUUACAGUAUUAGAACAUAUUGAAAAAUUAAAGUUUUUGAAUUUUAAUUUUAAUUAUAAUUUAAAAUAUUAAAAAAAUCAAAUGAAAACGAAAUUAACUUGAAUUCCUUUUGAUGAUUUAAUGAUUUCUUUUGCAGAAAGCAUACAAUAAAAAGCAGGACUCGUCGAUUAAUCAGUGAAGGUAAUGCUUGAAAAAGAAAUGGAAUAAAGGAACAAGGCAUGAGAGGAACUGCAACUUUUUUCAGUUAUUAGUCAUUACUUAUUCUUUUGGUAAAAGCAAGUUUAAAAAAAUGGUGAAAGAGUGUUGUAGGAGAAGACUAAUGGGAGAGACCAAAACAGAAAACAACUGGAAAUAAUCCAAAUUUUAGAUGACAUUAAUCUUAACAAUUGCAAAAGAUGAAGGAUUAUAUGUUGGAAUAAUUAAACAAAUGAAGCAUCCAAGACGAUCCAGUUUCAUGUCAAGUUGUUGGUGGAGAAUCGAGGAUGAACUGAAACAGCCUAUUACCCCAUAUAUUCAGUUAUUCACAGAAUAUAUAGGCUUUGAUUUGAAAAUUUUUCAUUGUUUUCACAUUUCUAAUGUUCACAUAAUGGAAUGACAGCAAUAAUUUGAAUAAAAAUUGUAUUGAAGUUACAUACAUAAAUAUUCAUGUGUAGCUUUUAAAUUAGGUAUUUAAAUUGUUUUUUUUAAAGGUUGCAUAUGAUAAAUUGGGUCUAAAAGAAGAGAUUUGAAUUCUAAAAUUAGUAUAAAUUGUGUGAGAAAAAUAUGUAAAUAUGAUCGACAAUGUUUUUUGAAUUAACGAGUUUUAUUUAGUGUGAAUUUCGUUCUCGCAAUGUAUCUGUAUUUGAGUCCUGGACAAGUAAAAUCCUUUUGUUGGGCUGAACAAAAGAAAUCAAUUUAUUCGCAAUUAACGUAUACAGGUUAAUGGGUAGGGAGACUAGGCUCAAGUGCCUGGCUUGGUUUGGGCUGGGUUUUAGUGAAGAUGUUUAUAAUUAAUUAAUUGAUUACAUUAGAUACAAAAUAUAUUUAAAUCUGUUAAUCUUGUGCCUCUUGUUAAAUUAUAGGUGUCACGAGUCGUGUAUUUGUAUUGUGUAAAUAUUAAAAUUUACGUAUUUAUAUUUUUUAUAUUAAAAUUAUGUCGAUGAAAAAAUAUAAAAUAUAUUUUUUAUUUUAUUAAAUUUAGAUAUAAUUAUUAUCAAAAUUUUAAAUUAUGUUGCCUUCAAUUUAUUUGUAUUCGUAUUUAUAUUUUAUUAUUGUAUCAUAUUUUAGAUGAUCGAAUCUAUUAAAUUGUAUGAUUUUUUUUUUUUGGGAGAUGGGCACUAAAGUGUAUGAAUUGUUAAAGUUGCAGAUAAAAAAAACCAUUAAUCUCAACCAGGUAAUACCAAAUUCAAUGAAAAUCUGUGAACUACUCCAUUAACUAGGGGAAGACUUAAAGUUCCAGCGACAACCAGGGGAAAAAUACCUGAAUAAAGAAUCAAUCAAUCUUUGCUUGUCAUGGAAAAACUCAGAAUAAACUAUUAACAUCCUCACCCUUCCUAGUGUGAAAGAAUUAGAUUCCUCUUAUUAUAUAAUCUAAAUGGCAAGUGGCUAUCACAUCACUGCUACAGUGAAAUGUGCUUAUAAAGAAGGGCGUGUGCCCACCACACUCCAUAUCCAAUAAACAUUUUCUUACAUUCCACUUACAAUUUCCUACUAUACCAUGCCAGCUCUAGAACUUGAUCAACAGAUCAGAUCUGAAAGCUUCAAAAACAAUAAUAAUAUUGCAGCUGCAGAAACAAAUGAAGAAAAUGAAGUUGAGUUUUUUGAUUAUACCAAGAGGGCACAGUGGCUUCGAGCUGCUGUUUUAGGAGCCAAUGAUGGGUUGCUUUCUACGUCUUCUUUGAUGAUGGGAGUUGGUGCCGUACGUAAAGACUCCAAGACCAUGGUCCUUACAGGGAUCGCUGGUUUGGUUGCUGGUGCUUGUAGCAUGGCGAUUGGUGAGUUGGUCUCAGUUUACUCACAAUAUGACAUUGAAUUGACUCAAAUGAAGAGAGAAACAAUGGCAAAAGAUUUUGCCGAUCAUGUCUUCGAGACUAAGAAAAAAAGUUUGCCUAAUCCCUGGCAAGCAGCUGGUGCAUCUGCGCUUGCUUUUGCUGUUGGGGCUGUCAUGCCGUUGCUUGCUGCUGCGUUCAUAAAGGUCUAUGUGGUGAGG